GUGUAUUUUAGCUACUGCUUUCAUAUUUUUCUUUAUUUUGUUUGACUUCAGGAUGCAGCAAUGAAGUGUUCUUAAAGGAGCCCUAAAGCUGAGGGUGAAAUUUGGACACGGAGCCGGCGUAGUCGCAGGAGCCACCGGCGGCGUAGGAGCAGUUGGGAGGUGACUGGAGUCAGGACGCGGCUGCACGCGGGCUGGCUGGGACCUGGAGGAGGCGUCCAUCUGUGGGAACUUAAGCAAGCCACUUAAAUGCGGGGACCUCUACCAUGCCAGCUACAAAGCCAGGUGACACUUCAGGCACAGCCUGCCUCCUGUCGCUGCCGGGAAGACUGGAAAUGGUACUGCUGGUGCCCACAGCCUUCCAGAUCGCCAUGGGGCAGCAGCUGGACGUUGGUCCGGCAUCACAUGAAGUGAGAGCAGCAUUUGUGGGGUCAGCUGGAAGGAGAAGUGGGGAAAGAGAAACACCCACGGCCCUUGCCUCGAGCCCACCUCUCAACCGGCAGUUCCUGGCGAUUCUCUGUUUCUGUGGCUUUACAGUGUUCCUACGUCCCCACUGCCAUUUACAAAUGACCGUCACCUCUUAAAUGAUUCCCCAGUUCCAGUCCAUACCCCACUCCCUGCUGGAUCAUUCUCAAAUGCAAAUUUGAUCAUUAAAACAUUUCGUGGCUUCUCUUUGACCCCCAGAAUAAAAUCCAAACGCAUUAAUAAGAGUGUCAUUGC